ensembl:lncRNA
GCUGCGUUGACACACUCACGACGGCUGACAGGAUUUCAAACAGUCUGCUCAUCAGUGAGAACAGAAGACGUCAGUUAUGGACAAAUUAUCAUCAAAGACAAGAAAGCAAGGUCAAGGACGAGAGAAAGUAAUCCAGCUGUAAUCUACUCAGCAAUAAGGGCUGAAGAUGUUAGUUAUGGACACAUAACCAUCACACCAAAGAUGAAAAGAGACUUUGAACCAGAGCCAGACGUCGUCUACUCUUCACUGAAGUAGUCCACCAGUCCAACCACUGACGUCUAACUGGCCACCCCAGCACCUCAAGAGUACAACUAUUCAUUAACAUAUUUUUUUAUGUUUUGUUUUUUUGUUUCUUUGUUUAUUUUUUCAUUUAUGUAGACUCAUAUGAUUUUUAAAAAAUAUGUUAAUAUAUUCCAUAGGUACAGUAAGUUAAUUGUUGUUUAUAAUACAAAUAUGAAUUCUCAGA